CAGUCAUAAUCGACAACACGCCGCAUAUCCUGUAAAAAUGAAAGUUUCUCUCUCUCAGCUCUCUGCAGGUGGAGGCGUCUGUCUCUCUGCUGCCUCCAGUGGCUCGUUCAGGCUAUCACAGGAUUGUUCUGAUCCUCAGCAGUGCCGCGCCAGUCAACUGGGCUCUGGUGGCUCCAGAGGUCAGAGGUCACGUCAGGGUCUAUGUAAGGACACACUCAGGACAAAGUUGCAUUUCUAUUUCUGAACGGCCUGCUUUUCCAAACACUUGAAUAACUGCAAACAUGUAUGUCUCUGUCGUUCAGUCGUCCAACAGCGUGAGUCUGCCGUACCGACCUCAAGCCCCCGGCCUCAGCAUGACCAGCACCGUGACCUCUGACCUCCUCAGCCCCCCCGACCUUCUAGAAUGGGCCAAUCAGAACGGCUUUCCCAAAGUGACCUCGUACACCGAGGCUGAUCUGGCCAAUCGCUUCGUCAUCAGGUUAAGGGAAGGUGGAAAAGGAUAAGAAGCUGCUUCAGUCGGCUCAGCAGAUGCUGCAGGACAGUAAGACAAAGAUCGACAUCAUCCGUAUGCAGAUCCGUAAAGCUAUGCAGGCCACCGAACAGACAGAUGACACUCAGGGUAUGUCUCACUGCUACAGACAAGUUCUGUCUGUCUCACUCCCUCCGACAAAUGAGCGUUUAUCGGCUUAACAUGAUCAUAGAGCUCCUUAAUGGCUUAAACACAGUGUAAAGGUCCUUUAGCAUCGCUUUUCUCUGUUUGCCUCAUUGGAGGGAGUCUCAUCUCACGUAGUUGGACUUCUUCCGCAUUAGUCUUGUCCAUACUGCAUCUCAGGUUCACUUUAUAGUGAUAUUGUGAUAUAAGGCAACUAAAAUGAUCUCCAUCCAGUGUAAUAUUUCAUAUACGGUGAGGACAUGAAUCCAUAUGUUUUGCAAACCAGUCUGUCUGCUGUCAUCUUGUCAAACAGUCUAAUUCUGACAGACAAAUGACUGUCUGUAUUACCUGACUGCUGUUUGUCUGUUUAGACGUCAGAGCAUCUCAGAGACGGUUCAUCUUCUCAAGCUAUUAAAGGAAUAGUUCACCAAAAAUUUAAAUUCUGUCAGUUUAUUCCACAAAAGGAGAAAUAGGGCAUAAUGUUCAAAUGUGUCUUUACAGUGACAGUUCAAAGUGACUACGCCAAUAAAAAUGGAUGAAAAGCAUCAUAAAGCACAACAAUCAAAGUCUUAUAAAGAUUUAUGAGAUCUUUGUGACAGAAACAGACCCAUAUUUAAUUUGCUAUUCACUGAUCAUUUUC
rnacentral:lncRNA from 1 species